UACGUAGGGUGCAAGCGUUGUCCGGAAUUAUUGGGCGUAAAGAGCUCGUAGGCGGUUUGUCGCGUCUGCUGUGAAAACCGGAGGCUCAACCUCCGGCCUGCAGUGGGUACGGGCAGACUAGAGUGCGGUAGGGGAGAUUGGAAUUCCUGGUGUAGCGGUGAAAUGCGCAGAUAUCAGGAGGAACACCGGUGGCGAAGGCGGGUCUCUGGGACGGUACUGACGCUGAGACGCGAAAGCGUGGGUAGCAAACAGG
rnacentral:rRNA from 1 species